UAUCAUUAACUGAAUCCAUAGGUUAAUGAGGCGAACCGGGGGAACUGAAACAUCUAAGUACCCCGAGGAAAAGAAAUCAACCGAGAUUCCCCCAGUAGCGGCGAGCGAACGGGGAGCAGCCCAGAGCCUGAAUCAGUAUGUGUGUUAGUGGAAGCGUCUGGAAAGGCGCGCGAUACAGGGUGACAGCCCCGUACACAAAAAUGCACAUGCUGUGAGCUCGAUGAGUAGGGCGGGACACGUGGUAUCCUGUCUGAAUAUGGGGGGACCAUCCUCCAAGGCUAAAUACUCCUGACUGACCGAUAGUGAACCAGUACCGUGAGGGAAAGGCGAAAAGAACCCCGGCGAGGGGAGUGAAAAAGAACCUGAAACCGUGUACGUACAAGCAGUGGGAGCACGCUUAGG
rnacentral:rRNA from 1 species